rnacentral:rRNA from 1 species
CCUACGGGAGGCAGCAGUAGGGAAUAUUGCACAAUGGGCGAAAGCCUGAUGCAGCAACGCCGCGUGCGCGAUGAAGGCCUUCGGGUCGUAAAGCGCUCUUCGGGAGGAUGAGGAAGGACAGUACUCCCGGAAUAAGUCACGGCUAACUACGUGCCAGCAGCCGCGGUAAUAACGUAGGUGGCGAGCGUUAUCCGGAUUUACUGG